rnacentral:rRNA from 1 species
GACGAACGCUGGCGGCGUGCUUAACACAUGCAAGUCGAACGGAAAGGCCCUGCUUUUGUGGGGUGCUCGAGUGGCGAACGGGUGAGUAACACGUGAGUAACCUGCCCUUGACUUUGGGAUAACUUCAGGAAACUGGGGCUAAUAUCGGAUAGGAGCUCCUGCUCCAUGGUGGGGGUUGGAAAGAUUCGGCGGUUGGGGAUGGACUCGCGGCUUAUCAGCUUGUUGGUGGGGUAGUGGCUUACCAAGGCUUUGACGGGUAGCCGGCCUGAGAGGGUGACCGGCCACAAUAGGACUAAGAUACGGACCAGACUCCUACGGGAGGCAGCGGUCGAGAAUAUGGCGCAAUGGGCGGAAGCCUGAUGCAGCGACGCCGGGUGCGGGAUGACGGCCUUCGGGUUGUAAACCGCUUUCGCCUGUGACGAGGCGUGAGUGACGGUAAUGGGUAAGGAAGCACCGGCUAACUACGUG